rnacentral:rRNA from 1 species
UACAGAGGUCUCGAGCGUUAUGCGGAAUCACUGGGCUUAAAGCGUGUGUAGGUGGAUUGGUAAGUACCUUGUGAAAUCCCACGGCUUAACCGUGGAACUGCUUGGUAUACUGCCAGUCUUGAGCCAGCUAGGGGCUACCGGAACAAAUGGUGGAGCGGUGAAAUGCGUAGAUAUCAUUUGGAACGCCAAUGGUGAAAACAGGUAGCUGGGGCUGUGCUGACACUGAGACACGAAAGCCAGGGGAGCAAACGGG